rnacentral:rRNA from 1 species
UACAGAGGGUGCGAGCGUUAAUCGGAAUUACUGGGCGUAAAGCGUGCGUAGACGGUCAAGUAAGUCGGGUGUGAAAGCCCCGGGCUCAACCUGGGAAUUGCAUUCGAGACUGCGUGGCUAGGGUGCGGAAGAGGGAAGCGGAAUUUCCGGUGUAGCGGUGAAAUGCGUAGAUAUCUGGAGGAACACCGGUGGCGAAGGCGGCAUCCUGGACCAAUACUGACACUGAGGAGCGAAAGCCAGGGGAGACAAACGGG